UGUGCGCGCUGUGUACAAUGGAAAGUUCAGCUUAGCCCAACGUUUGAGCGGUCAAUCGCUUUUGGAUUUGUUUUCGCUUUCUUGUUGGCUACCCUCUUCCUCUUCAUCUGAGUAAUUAGUGGGAGCUUCACCUGGCUUCAGAAGCUUACCUACGUAGUCGUACCUCUCUGAAGUCAAAGACAAAGUUGAUAUAAGUAUACCAUAGGAAAAGUACAACAUAAUCUACAAAAAAUCCAGCUUCAAACUGUCUUUCUACUGGUUUGUCAAGAAAAUGGUAUAGAGGUAUUGUUAUGUUGACCUUGAACGUUGAUCUCAUGUAAUAUGCAUUAUUUAAGAAAAUUUCAAGUCAGUAGGCUGGCUCAUUUAUCCGGGUUGAGUGAUGAUAAGAAUCGGAGUCACGAUGAUGUGAGAUUUAAGCAACAAAAUCAGUUCAAAUGUAACUGGGAUUAACCUAAAUAACUUUCCUUUGAUAUAGUUAAAUAAAAAAAUUAAUUUUAAAACUACAAA